CGCAUCUGUGCAUGCAGCAUAUCAUAAGCGGAGGAAAAGGUACCUACGCUUAGGAUGUUGACACACGCGCGUGCUCGACUCUACACAUGACUCUGUGCAUAUCAAUAAGCGGAGGAAAAGAAACUAACAAGGAUUCCCUUAGUAACGGCGAGUGAAGGCGGGAAGAGCUCAAAUUUGAAAUCUUCAAGGUUUUACCUUGACGAAUUGUAGUUUAAAGAAGUGUUUUCUGUUGAAGUUUUGGUAAAAGUUCUUUGGAAUAGGACAUCAUAGAGGGUGAGAAUCCCGUAUUUGACCAUUAUUUUCAGCUGUGUGAUACACUUUCAAAGAGUCGGAUUGUUUGGGAAUGCAGUCCAAAAUGGGUGGUAAAUUUCAUCUAGAGCUAAAUAUUGGCGAGAGACCGAUAGCGAACAAGUACCGUGAGGGAAAGAUGAAAAGAACUUUGAAAAGAGAGUUAAACAGUACGUGAAAUUGUCAAAAGGGAAGCGUUUGACACCAGUGUUGUUUUCUCGAAAAUCAAUUAAAAAGAGUUAGAUUUUGUUGUGUAUUGACCUUAACAGCUUGCAUUUCAAUUUUCUUGCUUUUUUUAAGUGCACUCUUCGUUUAACAAGUCAACAUCAGUUUCUUUUGUUGUAAAAAGGUCAUUGGAAGGUGGCUUUCUUUUCGGAGAAAGUGUUUAUAGCCUUUGACUCCUGCAAUCGGAGAGACUGAGGUCUGCAGCGUAGAUCCUUCGGGGUUAGAUACAUUUGUGCUAAGUUAUAGCUCUUUAUAGACAACUUGUUGACUAUGAUUAGUCUUGUAGCUUACUCGCUUAUGCUAUUUUACCUACGCUUAGGAUGUUGACACACGCGCGUGCUCG
rnacentral:rRNA from 1 species